rnacentral:tRNA from 1 species
GGUGGCUCAGUGGUAGAGUGCUUGCCCCUUAUGCAUGAGGCCCUGGGUUCAAUUCCUCAGCACCA